UAGUGGUGGUAACCACUAAUAGUCACAGCUAAUUGGGAGGCUGAGGUGAGAUGAUCUCUUGAGUCCAGGAGUUCUGGGCUGCAGUGCACUAAUCCAUUUGGGUGUUGGCACUAAGUUUGGCAUCAAUAUGGUGACCUCCUGGGAGUGGGGGACCACCAGGUUGCUUAAGGAGGGGUGAACCAGCCCAGAUCUGAAAUGAAGCAUGUCAAAACCCCAUGCCAAUCAGUUACUUUCAUUGUACUUUAUCAUGGAAUUAUUUUACUUCUCCAUCAGUUUAGAAAUAGAAUUUCACAUGGU
rnacentral:SRP_RNA from 1 species